AAACGUUUUUGAUCUACUUGAACUUUGAAACAAGUUUGAAACGUCAAAAAACAUCUCUUGAAAUUCGGCAGAAAAGGCGAAAAGUUAAAAAUGUUUAGUAUUCUAUAGGAUUUUAGAUCUUAUAAAUAUUUCCGUUUUUUCUGUCUUUAGUUCUAAAGAAAAUUAGACUAAACAGAGCUAAAGGGCGUUCUGUCAAUAUACUGGUGUAUUUGUUAUUAAUGCCCUUCCUUGACCCAUUGCCGAAAUAUUAAAAGAUGCUAUCCAAACACAGGCUUCUAUCUAAAUUAAAAGCAAAGGCAAGUUUCCAUUAUAAUGUUCUCUCAACUCAAGCGUCGGUGGGAAAGAUAGACAUCCCAUUUUCAAAUGAAACUUCACUUAAGCUAUCAACGGGUCAAUAUGCGCGCUUCGCUGACGGUGCGUGUGUGGCUACGCUCGGGAACACCAGUGUGCUGGCAACGGUGGUGUCCAGAGCCAAGCAGAGCAGCAGUUCGUUCCUGCCGCUAGUUGUGGACUAUAGGCAGAAAGCAGCUGCAGCGGGACGGAUACCUACAAACUUCUUGAGGAGAGAACUGGGUCCCACAGAACGCGAAAUCCUCACCUCCCGCCUGAUAGACCGCUCACUCCGGCCUCUCUUCCCAAGCAACUACUUCUAUGACACACAAAUAGUCUGCAACAUGCUAGCGGUGGACUCAACUAAUCCUCCGGAGACGGUAGCUAUCAAUGCUGCUAGUGCUGCGUUGGCCCUGUCAGACGUGCCGUGGAAUGGACCUAUUGGGGCUGUCAGACUAGGCCUAAUAGACAACGAAGUAAUCAUCAACCCCACCCGCAAGGACCUACAGACUUCCCAGCUCAACUUAGUCGUAGCCGCGACCUCACAAAACCUGGUCGUCAUGUUGGAAGGCAGCGCCAAUGACAUUCUCCAGCAGGAUCUGCUUAAGGCCAUCAAAACAGGAACCAAAGAAGCAAUGCACAUAGUCCGCGGCAUCGAGAAACUGCAAAAGGAACACGGAAAGACAAAGAGAGUGUACGACACGCAGUUACCCGUCCCACAGAACGUUGUGGAUGCUGUCAAAACGUUGUCCACUAUGAAGAUUAGAGAAAUUCUAAGUGACUAUUCCCAUGACAAAACCUCCCGCGACAUAGCAAUAUCAGACCUUCGGCAGACAGUCCUCGACCAGCUCCGAGAAGAAGGCGACCCUGGUCAGCUGCAGGAAUGUUUCAACAGUCAUCUUCGGCAGACAUUCCGGGAUAUGAUCUUUGAGACUGACACAAGAUGUGAUGGCAGGCAUCUGGAUGAGCUUAGGAAGAUCAGUUGCCAGGUGGGCCUAUACGAGCCUUUGCACGGUAGCGCGGUGUUCCAGCGCGGGCAAACCCAGGUGCUCUGCACAGUCGCCUUCGAUUCCCCGGAAAGUGCGUUAAAGAUGGACACACUCACUAUGCUCACUAGCGGUAUAAAAGAAAAAAGCUUCUUCCUCCACUACGAGUUCCCGUCGUACGCGACGGGCGAGCUGGGCCGCGGCGGCGCGCCCGGGCGGCGCGAGGCGGGCCACGGCGCGCUGGCCGAGCGCGGCCUGCUGCCCGUCGUGCCGCCGCGGCCCUACGCCGUCCGGCUCACUGCCGAAGUGCUCGAGUCUAAUGGGUCAAGUUCAAUGGCAUCCGUUUGCGGAGGAUCCCUCGCUCUUUUAGACGCGGGCGUCCCAUUGACCAGCCCUGCGGCCGGCGUGGCAAUAGGCCUCGUGACCCGCGCUGACGGCAACUCGCAUGUGGCUGACUACAGGAUACUCACAGAUUUGUUAGGUAUAGAAGACUACAUGGGCGACAUGGACUUCAAAGUGGCCGGCACAAAUAAAGGCAUCACCGCGCUGCAGGCAGACGUGAAGCUGCCGGGCCUGCCGCUCAAGGUCGUCAUGGAGUCCGUACAGAGGGCCUGCGAUGCCAAGAGCGACAUCAUUGCUAUUAUGAACCAGUGCAUCAGUCAACCCAGGCAAGGCCGUAAGGAAAACAUGCCCGUAAUGGAAGAGCUGGAAGUAGAAGUCCACAAACGAGCGAAGCUGCUCGGUCUCGGCGGCGGCAACCUGAAAAAGCUUUACGUCGAAACAGGAGUACAGAUUACCCCAAUAGACGAAACGAAAUACAGCGUGUUCGCGCCCUCCCAAGCCGCGAUGGACGAAGCCCGAGCCAGGAUAGACUCAUGGCUCAGCGCAGAAAGAACACCUGAGUUAGAAUUUGGUGCUAUCUACAAAGCCAAGGUCGUCGAGGUCAAGGACAUCGGGGUUCUGGUGACCUUGUAUCCCGGUAUGGCUCCGGCGUUGGUGCAUAAUUCACAGUUGGAUCAUAGAAAGAUAAUGCACCCAUCCGCAUUAGGCCUCGACGUGGGCUCCGAAAUCCAAGUGAAAUACUUCGGGCGCGACCCCGUGUCGGGGCAGGCGCGGCUCUCCAAGAAGGUGCUCACGUCGCCGCCGCCCGGCGUAGUGCGGAAACUUGAUAAAAGCUAGUGGACUCUAUUGUGUAGUGAAUAGAGGUGAAAGUGGAACUGUACAGUGAUUGGAAUGUUAGUGUGAAAUAGGGAGCGUGCAAGAACUGUAAACAGCAAUGGAGUUGUUUAUUGGAGCAGAGCAUUUGCAAAUGACAAAAAGGUUAAAACUGCGUGUUAAAAACUAUAGUGUGGCCGAUCGAGACUUUUAUUCUUCUUCUCUCGUGUCGAGGUUCCCCUAGACAGUGGAUGCCCAGCAAGCAGCGGUACUGACAGCCCGGACCGUGGCAUCUCUCAGGUCAGAUUCAGAGCACGAGUGCGGGCACGCGGGGCAUCCAGCAGGUGCGCCAUGGUUUGUGGUGCAGAGUCGCAAGCACAUUGGAUAGAGUGGCCACGAAGCACUCCCCAUUCGACCAUGCUCUGUUUACAACGGCCAACCUGAGACCUGAGCCUGUUCAUCGCCUUCCAGAUGCUUUUUAUGCCAGAGACUUUUACGAGUCUUAUAAGUAAGUUGCUGUAAUCAAGGCCGCUUCAAACACUGUCUGUGAAUAUAUAAUAUAAAAAGACAUUGUAUUAUUUAUUGUUACUGUUGUAUAAAUAAUUUAAAUUUAAAAUCCGUGAAAUGUUGUUAUGACAGGUACAGUUAAUUUUAUUGUUCAUUUCAUUGUCUAUUGACAGAAAUUAAAUUCACCUAAAUACCAAAAAAUUGUAAAUAGUUUUUAUCGAGUUAAUUAUUAAAGUUAAAAAAUUUGAUAAUAUGCGUAUUUAUUUGAAAUUUGCAACAUUUUCAGGUAAAGCAAUAAUAAGCACUGAUACUGUUAGUUUUAGUAACCAAGCCAGUAGUAGUAUUUGGUAGUUAUCCCUCCAAUGUCAUUAACCCUUUGACCGCCAAAGACGUCAACUGACGUGCGCAGCGACAGCCCAAUAUCAACCUUCGUGCAUCCUGACAAGGUUCAUGAUGACGCCGCACACGAUAGACGUGUUGAUAAGGUCAACAGUAAACUUGGACUUUUUUUCCAAGUAGGCAUAUUACAAUGCGCUUAUGAACGUCAAAUAAAGCCAGUGCCGGAUUAAGCCAACGCGAGGCCUCUGGCAAAGCUAUCAAAGGGCCCUUGUAUAUUUUCAAUUUUAUCGGUCUAUAGGAAACUGAGCCGACAGUGCAACGAAUCCACGAAUUGCUAUUCCCGCCGAGGCAUAUGUAGUGUUUCUUUUAAGCAUACAAGGAAAAGUUAAAAUAAUCAAGUAUUUAAGCAUCAUUCGAAUCUUAACAUCAAAACCGUCAAAAAAUAUCGUUCCUCUAGAUUUUUUUUUUUAAUUAAACAAAAUAAUAGUAAAAAUGUUGAAAGGGCAAUUUUAAAGUACGCUGUGUUUGCAAACCAGAGGGGUUACCACGAAUCUUUCUUCCAUAUCGUGUAAUAGAGAGGCAGAUAAAGAAAUUUCCAAUUUUGCUACAAUAAGACAAACAUUUCCAAGCAUAUUGGGGAAAAGAGUCUGUGCGGAAAAAGAACAAAUUGCGGGGAUCUUUCUUUUUACACCAUUGAAGGCGUAAUUAAAAUGACAGAGAAAAAAAGCACUUUGUGAACUUCGAUUUUCGUGGCUAUAGGUCUCAUAACUGUCCGGAUCGCUACGCACGGCUGGCCACUGUAGUAGUAUACUAUUUAAGGCCACAAUGCGUUGGUGCGCAGGGCCCGUGGCUAAUCCGCCACUGAAUAAAGUUACGCUUGCUACUGCCUUUAACCUUUUUGGCGCCUAUGACGGAUAUAUCCGCACCGUAGGUCUAACGCCGAAGAUGGAUUAAUCUUCAUAG